rnacentral:lncRNA from 7 species
CAGUCUGCGACUACGAGAGCUAGCGCAUCGCAAUGGCGGCCAGCAGAACCAGCGUGGUCGUUGUGCUUUGCUUCGUCGUUGUAGCCUCUCUUCUCCUGUCGUCCUCGUCAUUUGCUGCCCGCACUACUACUACAACCGAUGAAUGGAGAAGGGAGACGACGGCGAAGCAGCGGCCCGUGGUUGAGGAACAGGACUACUACCCCGUCACAGAGGGGUCUCCUAAUAUUCCGUCUUACUACGUACCCCCGCCCCCGCCGCCUUCACCCUAUACGCCAUGAUUUCUUCCCGCCGCGCCAUGCAUGUGCAUGCAUGCUGUGUUUCCAGUUCUGCGAACAGAUGAAUAUGCUACUCGCGAGUAUAUAUGUAAGGGAAAAUGAAUAAAGUAUGGAGGACAUGAUGCAAUUAAGCAGUUUCGCCAUUAGAAGGGCUGAGCAUCACUACAGUAAAAACACGCAUCUCCGACGGUCUGCUUAUGUCCGACACGUUCUCGUAUAAGUCUUUGAACGAGGGACGGGUACUAUCGGACAUAAUCCUUUGGUCGUCGGAAAUAGCUUAUUUUCAACGGUUUAGGAUGACGGCUUUGACCAUCGAAAAUUCUCUGUAGUGCGUAUCACUAGUCAGCUGCAAAAAUAUGUGUACACCAGUACUAUGUAUUGUUAUUUUUUUCUCCAUAAUGGAUCAUCAGACUUCAUUCUC